rnacentral:tRNA from 1 species
GCCCGCAUAGUUUAAUGGAUAGAAUGUCAGAUUCCGGUUCUGAAGGUGGGAGUUCGAUUCUCUCUGCGGGUA